rnacentral:lncRNA from 1 species
CAAGUUUCCCCCCCAAACGGUGCCAUUUUGAGGUGUGAGGGCGGUGCAAAACUCUGUCGUUUUAUACGGCUAUUUAAACCAAAAAAAAAUUAAAAAAAAAUCAUUUCAGCCUCUUUUUUUUAAAAUAAAAUAAACUUUCGAAACCCCUUUUUUCUUUUUUCUCUACUAGGGUUUUAAACACUAGCCUUUGCGCCGCCGUCGCCUAUCUGCCACCUUAUACGGUGGCCGACGUUCCUAAAGUCCCUUUUUUAGCCGAUUUCAGCCUCCUUAAACCUGAUUUAAAGGAAAAAUACCCCAAAUCCCUCCAAAAAACAAAAAACAAAAAAUGGAAGAGAAAAGAACAAAAACUAAGGCCCUUCGCCUCCCUAUCCGGGACGGUGAUAUUUCUGACGAAACUCGAAGGUUUGGCUGCCCAAACUCCGACCGCAGGCACGAGGUGAGCGAUUUCUUUAUUUUAAAAUAUGUAUCAAUAUAUACUUGCUAUGUUGUGAAUAGAUGUGCAGCAUAAAAAGAAAAUACUAAAAGGAUUCUUACUUUCUAUCUUGAGAGUUUUUUGCUUUCAAUCUGAUUUUUUUUUAUUUCAAAAAUCCCCCCUUUUACAUUCGGUUUUUGGUGGCUUUAUAGCUGAUUACACUGUUUUCCGUCACUGUUUGCUAUUGUUCUCUAUUGUAUUAUUUGUUUGCUUGUCACGUUGCUUCUGUUUCUGUCUCUGCUUUGCUUCUGUUCUGUUUCGCAGGUUGCUAAGAGGUCAACGGGGUUGGUGCAAGGCCGAGCAGAGGGGGUCAGGCCUCGAGACCAGGCGCGGGCGGUGCGCUCGAGGCACACGGGGGCAAACGACGCCUAGAGUUUCUGCUUCCCUCUUUUGGCUGAAGUUUGUUUAGAUCUUGGGCCUAUCGGAACGUUAGGGUUUUUUGUUGUUUGGGCUGUUGGGGUUGUAAUAUUUGGACUGUUAAUAUUGGACUUUUAUUUGGUUUUAUUAUUUUUUAAUUUUGGUUUAUAACGGGCCGAACAAAUUGGGCCUGUUACAACUAAUAUAUAAAAAUGUUUAAAAGAAAUGAAAUAUACAAUUUAAAAUGGGGCUCUUAAAAUGAACCAAUUAUAUACAUAAAUAGAUUUAAGAAACUGU